rnacentral:tRNA from 1 species
GCGGUCGUGGUCUAGUGUCCAUGACGUCUGCUUAACACGCAGAAGUUCCCGAGUUCGAUCCUCGGCGUCCGUU